rnacentral:lncRNA from 10 species
CGGGCUCCACCCCGACGGACCUAGGUGAGGACAGGUAUUUCCUGCCCAAAUGUUGCAUUUCCCAAGACCACCCUGGCCUGCCACGCCCCCAUCUUGGGCCUAUAAAAACCCGAGGCGCCCUACCCCCAGCAGGUAGACACAAAAAGCGGCUGAGCAUUGUGAGGAACACGUCGGCAGAGGAAGAUACAAGCCACUGGUCAUCGAGGGCACACUGGCAGAAGAGCACGCCAACAGGCACUAGCAGGUCGACAAGCCGGGCCAUAGACUGGUGGAAUGACGCGAAGUUUUCCAGGGGAAAACCAUCUCCCUUCUGGCUCCCCCAUCUGCUAAGAGUUACUUCUACUCAAUAAGACCUUGUACUCAUUCUCUAAGCCCGUGUGUGCUCCAAUUCUCCUGGUACACCAAGCACCGGCACCACCCCUGGAGUUCUGUACGUCAGCAUCAGCCUGAAGAUCAAGUCCUCAUCAAACGGUAAAAAGAAAAAUAUUUUGAACCCGCUUAGAAAGGACCCUACCUGGUGCUUCUAACUACUGAAUCUACAGUCUGAACAGUGGAAAGAGGAUGGACUCACCAUACCCAAGUCAAAGAAACGCCACAACCUUCAGAGUCAUGGGCCAUUGUUCCAAGAUCAAGCCGUAUCAAAUUAAAGCUAAAAAUACCUUAACCCUCCUAUACCUUUUUUAUUGUUUCUCCCUCUUUCCCCACUCUAUUGUUAGCCAUCUUGUUAUCAAUGUAACUAGGUCUGACUCGCCCCAAACUAUUGCUUUUGAUGCUUGUCUGGUUACACCUUGUGGGGAUCUAAAAAACCAAAGACAACUAGCCUUUUCAGAUAAGUAUCUUUGCCCUGGCCCUCUAAUUCCAAAGUUUCCCCUAGCCCUCACCAUUGUGAUCACCUACAGCCAAGACGCCAUUUCUUUAUUUCCACAGCCUGACAGCCUUAUAGUGUUUGAGACUAUGUUCUCUAGACCACACAAUACCAAAGUUAGACCUCUGCAGUGAGGGUUUGCAUUAAUCUAAAGCUUUACCUCCAUUUUACCAAAGGAACUACUCCCCCUGAUUGCCAGUCUCAUCAAUGCAACCCCAUCCUCAUUUCCAUUACCAUCUCUACCUCCACUGACCCUAGGCCCACCCUCAGUAGUCUCUAUGGUGUAGGGGCCAAUUAUAAUGAGAGAGAUCCUGUAAGUAUCUUUCAAAUAUACCUCUUUUCCCACCUCCUCUUCCCCCAUCCCCGAUAAUUUCAACUUUGAAUGAAACACCUGUUAUUCCUGUACCUAAUGAUAAAACCAAGGUGUCCCUGGUAAAAGUAAAAGAUCUAAAACAAACCCUAGCAAUUGAGACAGGACAUCAAGAUACAAAUGCCUGACUGGAAUGAAUUAAACAUUCCAUCCACACCCUAGGUAAAAGUGACUGUUAUCCUUGUGCGCACGGUAGACCAGAGGCCCAGAUCAUCCCCUUUCUACUUGGAUGGUCUCCCCGUCAACCGGACAUGAGCUGUAUGGUAGCUCGUUUCUAAAACAGCACUGCCUGGGAUGACUGAUUGUGCCAAGCUGUUUCUCUGCUGUUCCCAGAAGUUCAACACCCUGUUAGCCCCUGAGGUCCAUUCAGCCUCUGCCUUCCAAUGUCAAGUUUACCUCAUAUCUCAUGACAGGGAGAAGACUUGGCAUUCCUCAGAGACUUAAAGGGAUACAAGAGCUUAGGCACUUCCAAGAGCUUACCCAUCAGUCUGCCCUUAGUCAUCCCUGAGCGGAUGUCUGGUGGUAUUGUGACAGACCCCUACUGGACACUCUGCCAAGUAACUGGAGUGGAAUGUGUGCUCUAAUUCAAUUGGCUGUCCCUUUUACCUUGACAUUUCAUCAACCAGAGAAAGUAAAAACAAAAUGCCAUAGGCCAAGAGAGACCCCUUAUAAGUCCUUUGAUCCUCAGGAUUAUAUAGAUGCCAUCGAGGUUCCACGAGGAGUGCCAAAUGAAUUUAAAGCCCAAAACCAAAUAGCUACAGGGUUUAAAUCC